rnacentral:lncRNA from 1 species
AGGGUGAGCAGGCAUUCCAGAGUAACACUGGGCAUCUAAUCUAGAGACCCUAUAUGCUAGGCAAACACUCUACCAACUAAGGCACAUUGCCAACCUACAUAACCUUUUUUUUAAAGUUGUGUUUGUUCAGGCCAUAGUGAGGAUGUAGAAGUUUUUACUAGUUGGGAUUUUGUUAACUGCAAAUUUAGGGCAUUUGGGGAAACACAUGACUCUGUGUUUUACUUAAGUUGAAAAAGGAUGUCUCCAGCUAACUCUGUAGUGCGAAUUACUAAGGGAUGAACUCCUUGGACAUAUUUAAGUAGUCUUCAGAAUAUGUGUUUUAUGAUAGCAACCUGUGUGAUACAAAUACAAACUCAUGUUACAUAUUCUUUUUAUAAAGGUGAUACCUAAAUCAAAAAGCUCAGGAUGUGGAUAUAAAAACAGUGAGAAAAGAUAACUCGAGCAAGUGUCAACGGAAGUACGGUACUCACUGUAGUGAGUGUAAGACAGUUUCUAUUGACAGGACAUCAUCGGAAAGAGGAAAGCUGCAAAACGUUUAUGCACAAAACUGAGGUUUCUAAAGAGAGUGCUGAUAAAAUGUAGCAUAGAUCAACAGUCCCACGGUCUUGAUGACAGUGAGUAAAAAGUCUGGUUUCAGUACAAAAUUAGGCACUUUUAAAAGAGGAGACACAUUCUUCAAAACUUAUACAAAUCAACUAGCAAGUGUUGAUUAUAAGUCAACCCACAAGGAAGAUUUCAAAUAGGAAUACACUGCUUCUUCCAUCCCAUCAAAAUGCUGUAUAGCUGUGUAUGAAAGCUCCCUCAUUGUAAAGAUUCAGAAGGCAGUGGGUUGCUUUCUAAUGUCCCUGCUCAUUAUAUUUAGGAACUGCAGCAGUUGGACACACAGACAAGAUUGGACGUUUGAAGGAACUCUGUGAGCAGUACGGCAUUUGGCUUCAUGUGGAAGGGUAAGUAGACAGUAAGGUUGGCCAGUUCCAUGUUGGUCCUUAUGGAGAAUGAACGUCAGACCACCACUGAGUGACAUUUAUCAUUAACUGUCACCCAAACUGGCUAAAGCAAAAGAUUUUAUUGCUUCAUAUAACUGAAAAGACCAUUGCUAGGAAUGGCUUUAGACACAUUGUCAGCCAGAAUUCCAUAAGUUCCUCUCCACUUCCUUCCCUAAUCCUGGUCACUUGGCUUGAGUUCCUAUGUUUUGACUUGUGGAGAGACAUUUCCUAUUAUGGUAAAAAGUAACUGCAGAAAUCCUAGCCCUCUUUCCAUCUUCAUGUUCCAUGAGUUCCUCUGACAGCUGAGGUCAUUUGAACACUUCUGAAGUGGGUGAGUCCACCUGAGCUCAUAGUCUGAUAAAGGUUAUAGGGUGGUUAGACGGAAGGCCCCUGUAGUGUCUUUAGAGAGAAGAGGAGCAGGUUCAGGGCAGCCAGAUGCCCAUGUCACCACAUCAUCCACGAGAAGGGUCCUUUUUUAUCUUCUAUAAAAAAGAAGAGUAACCGUGAAAGAUACACAGUAGUAAGCAGAGACAGCCCCUAAAGCAUGCUUUUCUUAAAAGUGCAUUUUGAAGCUUUCUAUAACUCCUUUGGCUUUAAUAAAUGCUAAGUAAAUAAAAGGCAUAGGUGAAGAUGUUAGUUUAUCACCUUAAUGACAGCACGGCCUUCUUUUUUGUUUUUUUGUUUUUGUAGAGUGCCUGCUUAGGGAACAAGUAACAUUUAAGUAAUUGAUUCUCACACUGGUGCUUUUUCUUCCAGUGUGAAUCUGGCAACAUUGGCUCUAGGUUAUGUCUCCUCAUCUGUGCUGGUAUGUUGUUGGUUUAUUGAAUAUUGGUGGUGGUAAAAAGGAGCUUAGUCUGUUCAGUUCAUUCUGGUUUUCCAUAGUUCUUAUGACUAGAGGAGGGACUGUGUUUCAUGUUGUCUGGUUACCUAAUGAACAAAAGCUCUCUUUUUGGUAGGCUGCAACCAAGUGCGAUAGCAUGACACUAACUCCUGGCCUAUGGCUAGGUUUGCCAGCUGUUCCUGCAGUGACACUCUACAAACAUGACGAUCCUGCCUUGGUGAGCUGACUGUCACUAGGGAAUGAAUGAUAUUCAUAAUUGCCUUCUGGAAUAGAACUUAGAGAAAUAAAGGAAUUUUUUUUUUUCUAAUUCU